rnacentral:rRNA from 1 species
AGAGUUUGAUCAUGGCUCAGAUUGAACGCUGGCGGCAGGCCUAACACAUGCAAGUCGAGCGGUAACAGAGAAUAGCUUGCUAUUCUGCUGACGAGCGGCGGACGGGUGAGUAACGCGUAGGAAUCUGCCCGGUAGCGGGGGAUAGCCCAGAGAAAUUUGGAUUAAUACCGCAUACGCCCUACGGGGGAAAGGAGGGGACUCUUCGGAGCCUUCCACUAUCGGAUGAGCCUGCGUGAGAUUAGCUAGUUGGCGGGGUAAAGGCCCACCAAGGCGACGAUCUCUAGCUGGUCUGAGAGGAUGAUCAGCCACACCGGAACUGAGACACGGCCCGGACUCCUACGGGAGGCAGCAGUGGGGAAUAUUGCACAAUGGGCGAAAGCCUGAUGCAGCCAUGCCGCGUGUGUGAAGAAGGCCUUAGGGUUGUAAAGCACUUUCAGCGAGGAGGAAAGCUUGUGAGUUAAUACCUCUCAAGUGUGACGUUACUCGCAGAAGAAGCACCGGCUAACUCCGUGCCAGCCGCCGCGGUAAUACGGAGGGUGCAAGCGUUAAUCGGAAUUACUGGGCGUAAAGCGCGCGUAGGCGGCUUGUUAAGCCAGAUGUGAAAGCCCCGGGCUUAACCUGGGGAACUGCAUUUGGAACUGGCAGGCUAGAGUACAGAAGAGGGUGGUAGAAUUUCCUGUGUAGCGGUGAAAUGCGUAGAUAUAGGAAGGGAAUACCAGU